rnacentral:rRNA from 1 species
AACGUAGGACGCGAGCGUUAUCCGGAUUUACUGGGCGUAAAGCGCGGGCAGGCGGCUGUUCAAGUCGGACGUGAAAGCUCCCGGCUCAACCGGGAGAGGCCGUUCGAAACUGGGCAGCUAGAGGGCAGCAGAGGGGCGUGGAAUUCCGGGUGGAGUGGUGAAAUGCGUAGAGAUCCGGAGGAACACCAGAGGCGAAGGCGGCGCCCUGGGCUGCACCUGACGCUGAGCCGCGAAAGCCAGGGUAGCGAACGGGAUUAGAAACCCCGGUAGUCCUGGCCGUAAACGAUGUCCACUAGAUGUCGGGCCGUGAAGGCUCGGCGUCGCAGCUAACGCAGUAAGUGGACCGCCUGGGGAGUACGGCCGCAAGGCUAAAACUCAAAGGAAUUGACGGGGGCCCGCACAAGCAGCGGAGCGUGUGGUUUAAUUCGAGGCAACGCGAAGAACCUUACCUGGGCUUGACAUGGCGGUGGUACCGAGGCGAAAGCCGAGGGACCCUUCGGGGAGCCGUCACAGGUGCUGCAUGGCU